rnacentral:misc_RNA from 1 species
CGGUUCACAGUCGAAAACUCCGUGUAUCUCGAUCCUGCAGCGCAGGGACGGCGCAUCGGCACGCGGCUGAUGCAGGACCUGAUUGCCGCGUGCGAAGAUCGCGGCGGCUACCGGCAGAUGAUCGCGGUGAUCGGGGAUUCCGCCAACGCCGCCUCGAUUGGCGUCCAUGCCCGCGCCGGAUUCGAAAUGAUCGGCACGCACCCCAGCGUCGGGUUCAAGUUCGGCCGCUGGCUCGACACGGU